GUGGGGGUUGGGAGAGCUUGCUAUAAAGCAGAGCAGAGGUAGUUAGAUGGUACCAGACGGGAUCAAGGGUUCUAGCUACUGUAGUUCUGAUGUUGGUUUAUGAAAUAAGAAAUAAAAAAAUAAAAAAUAAAUAAAAAUGCUUAAAAAAGGUAAAAAAAUUUAAAGAAAACAUAGAAGAACAAACAAAAAAGCAUUCUAGCAACUUCCCGUUAUUGUCACUCAGGCCUAUUUAUUGUCAGCUCUUCCUUUUUCCUUUCCCCUACUCUUUAGACCUUUUAUUCUUCCUGGAAAGGGAAACUAGAAAGAUAUUGGAGGCUAGAGGAGGAGAGAGGAAAGCAAGGAGAAGUCCCAGCUAGGGGCUCUGUUCAUCCAUAGUCUUCAAAUCUCAGCUCUGCGUUUUUUGGAUUUCACCAUUGGUAUGUUCAAAGUUGCUUAUAAAAACCAUUUCUGCCAUAAGAGGUUCUCUUCCACAAAUCGGUCUGAGAUGAGAUUGUGGUUGGCACCAGUUGCCAAUGCACUGCACACAGAGCACAGGGCAACACACACCCAGUCAGCAGUUCUCAGCGUUGCCACCACUACAGCCCUCUUGGACAGAUUCUUCCCCAUGGAUACCAUUCUGGAAGAUUUUGCCAACCCAACAAAAUGCAUUUGCAUGCAAUGAAUAAUUUGUUUUUUGAUUUUGUGAUCAAAGACAUACAUAAUCUUCUGUGGAUCAUAAUGAAGAUAACCAAAGGAAUAACAUACUGACUUGCUAGAAAUUCAGUCAAAAUAACAUACUGACUUGCUAGAAAUUCAGUCAAAAUCAAAAAACAAAGAAACUGUACUGCUCAGCUUUAUUUCGGGUAAGUGUACAUCGACCAGACUUUCUGAAUAAUGAAAAUAGUUCAUGGCAAACACCUCCACUCCCUUCCUCCACACCUUUCCUCUAAUGAGAAGGUUCAGCAGAUGCUCCUCUGGCCAGCAGACGUCUGGAUCUUUAGAAGCAGGUGAUAAGGUGACAGUGGUGCUACCCUUCAGCUUGCAGCCAAAAAUCAUCGGUCCCCUUUUCAUAGAAGAGGCCACCUGUAGGGAGCAGUUCCUGUAACUCCUAAACCUCUAACACAUGGUCACUGUGCUCCACCUCAACACAGACUCCCUAACUCCAAGGGGAACAAUGAUCACAUGGCGUGGGCAAGAAGUGAGAAGGGAUCUGGGGUGACUUUUUACAAGUCAAGGCUCCCAAAAAUUGUACAAGUUUUGUCAUCCCUGAAGCAAAGAACUCCUUUCCCUGAUAAGAGUCACCAAUUCUCAGUAUCCAAAGUAGAGCAAACUCCUUCCUUUAAGGGCUCUUGAUCAGCCCUGGGGAAAUUGGGAGAGCAGGGUUCUCAAAUAAACAACUGAUAAAUACACCUGCCAUCAUUAGCGAGUACCUACAGCGAGGCUGGCCUCAUGGUAGGACCCUAAGAUUCUUCUGGGAUUACAAGGUCAGCGCAUUCUGCUUCAGAGCCUAUAAGAGACCAGGCAAUUAGUCAGAUAAGAUUUAGAAAUGUAGCAAGUUUCACCCAUGGAGCUACCCUACCUACCUCAGCCUAGGCAGCCUUUUUGUCCUGUGUCAGAAUUUCCACUAGGCAUUGGGGACAGCAGGGAGAUAGCAGAGAAGCUAAGCUGCAGAAACUUGAACUACAAAAUUAGAAGAAGGGUUUUCCUCAGGUUUGUUGUUUUAAUAGUGGAGCCCCUGGGGAUAGGGCCUGGCUGAGGACCUGCCAGAAUUCAGGAAGAAGAUUGUUUUCCAUCUGGUCUCAGAAUUCUAGACUCCUGUCUUGUAGAUGUGACUGAUGUUGGGGUACUCUAGAGCAAGUCUUGCCCUUUGCUGAGUCUUGGAUUCUCUUUUUAUGUCUCCAAGAAUUACCUUUAAUGUCUGGAAGGAUGCCCCAGCUCUUACCGCCUCACUCUCAGAUUGAAUAUGUGUGUGUUUGGGGCUGGGUGAGGGGGGCAUUCUGGAAAUGCUCAGAGACACGUGGUAAACCACAGGUAGAAAGGUCAUGAGGGGAGAGGCAGAAGGGUCAGCGUCUGGAACCACAACGGCAGGCUUCUCCUCAUCCUUCCCAGCAUAGGAUAAGAGAGGUGGGAGGUAAAGUGCUGAGUGUCUCUACUGGUGGAUGGAGUCAUCAAUUACCUCUGGCAGUUCAUUCUAGGAUCGGGGCUUUCAGGAAGUGGUGGCAUUUUGUGAUGUCACUCGGUAGCACUAGGUGGUACAGAGAUGAGCUCCCUGGGAGAGAACAGUGCUAAGUUCUGUCAUGUUAAUAGAUAUUCCAGGAAAACCAAAUAAGCAGACAAAAACCUGUUACCAAAUAAUUCAGGGAACUGGGUAAACAAAGUUCAAUAGAUUUU
rnacentral:lncRNA from 10 species